CCUGGAUUCGACAGGUUUUGCAGGCAAGGUGCAUGCCGAGGGCGGUUGUGGCCUCGUAAAAGCCGCAAAAAUAGUCGCGACGACAGAGCUUCUGCUUUAGCGGCUUAAACAACACCAGCAGAGCCCACUCUCCUAGCCUUACUCCGCUCUUAGGACCGGGGAUCAAGAGAGGUCAAACCCAAAAGAGAUCGCGCGGAUGCUUGCACGGGGUUGAAGCGUUAAAACGAAUCAGGCUAGUCUGGUAGUGGCGUGUCCGUCCGCAGGUGCCGGGCAGAAUGUAAAGAACUUUGACCAAGCAUGUAGUACCGAGGUAGGAAUUUCGGACGCGGGUUCAGCUCCCGCC
rnacentral:tmRNA from 1 species